UACGUAGGUGGCGAGCGUUGUCCGGAUUUACUGGGCGUAAAGGGAGCGUAGGCGGACUUUUAAGUGAGAUGUGAAAUACCCGGGCUCAACUUGGGUGCUGCAUUUCAAACUGGAAGUCUAGAGUGCAGGAGAGGAGAAUGGAAUUCCUAGUGUAGCGAUGAAAUGCGUAGAGAUUAGGAAGAACACCAGUGGCGAAGGCGAUUCUCUGGACUGUAACUGACGCUGAGGCUCGAAAGCGUGGGGAGCAAACAGGAUUAGAUACCCCCGUA
rnacentral:rRNA from 1 species